rnacentral:rRNA from 1 species
UGAGGAAUAUUGGUCAAUGGACGGGAGUCUGAACCAGCCAAGUAGCGUGAAGGAUGACUGCCCUAUGGGUUGUAAACUUCUUUUAUACGGGAAUAAAGUGAUCCACGUGUGGAUUUUUGUAUGUACCGUAUGAAUAAGGAUCGGCUAACUCCGUGCCAGCAGCCGCGGUAAUACGGAGGAUCCGAGCGUUAUCCGGAUUUAUUGGGUUUAAAGGGAGCGUAGGUGGAUUGUUAAGUCAGUUGUGAAAGUUUGCGGCUCAACCGUAAAAUUGCAGUUGAUACUGGCAGUCUUGAGUACAGUAGAGGUGGGCGGAAUUCGUGGUGUAGCGGUGAAAUGCUUAGAUAUCACGAAGAACUCCGAUUGCGAAGGCAGCUCACUGGACUGCAACUGACACUGAUGCUCGAAAGUGUGGGUAUCAAACAGG